GCUGCAUCCAUUCCUUCCUUUUUUUAUUUUUUCUUGGAUCUUUCCAUUGAGAUGGAUCGAAAAACACAGCAAAACCAGAAAAAUUGGGGCAUUGGGAAUAUGGUGAAGAAAUAAAGAUGAGCAGAGAGCACAGAGGACAAAGCGGGGGCCGAGAGGCAAACGGGCGAGGGCCCAGGCAGAGGCGGGCAGGUACAGACUUAUUCUUGAUCCCAGCCUCCACCAGCUCAUGGCAUCAGUGAUGUUUCUAUGGCCCUGUUGAAUUUGAAUGAGAUCUUGGGGUUAUUCCACUUCAAAUACUACUGGAUCUGGGAAACCACACUUUCUGAUAUUUUGAUGUACUACCUACACCUCUGAACAUAGACUUUCUGCCUCUUUCUCCGCAUGACACCCAAUUUGUCUUCCUCCUAUUUUCUAGUGACCAUUCAUCAGAACCAAGAUUGUCACCAUGAAAGAAAUCUAUGCUAAAAAGUGUACUGAUAAUGGAGGUAGAAGCAGCAAGGAAGAAAAGUCACUUAAUUCAAUGGUGUAAAGUACAGGGAGAGGUGGAAGGUGGAGAACUGAAGUGGCUGGAGUACUCGCUCUCUGCAGCAGCAAUCGCUGACCGUGAGGUUGUAAGUCACCUGGCUUCUUUGCAUGGUCCUAGAGAGUGUGUGCUAAGAGAAGACAAGACCAAAUUUGGGAAUGGACUGUCAGAAAAUCGGGCUAGCAACUGUGAAUGACCUCUUACUUCUGGCAGUUUUAAGGAAAAUGUGUCUGAGGACCCAGCCUGGAGUUUCAUAAGAGUCACCAAGAAACUGCUUGUUGCACGUACUCCAUAUCACCUUAAUCUUGCUUCAAAAGCUACUAGAUCAGGAUGAUACUCAGGACAGAAAUGUCCUAAGAAUUUCAGCUCUUGUUUCCCUAGAACUUCUGCUGGCUGAGGCUUCCCAUCCUUCCCUCCUGAAGAAUCUAUCUGUCUUCUGCAUAAAAUGCUUCCACUGACUAGAAGACUUGGGCACAAGAGACAGUGGCCUUGCACGUGACUAUCAACUCUUCAGAAUUUGCCAACAGUGCCAUCAUGGGAUCUGUUUGUCAAAAUAGCCAAGGCCUGACUGGAAGUAGAGCGACCCUGACUGGCACAGGAGUUAUGUGAUUUCAUCAAGCUCUUCUGGCCAGAACUCCACACAGGACAGUGAAAUAUGUGGAAAGGGACCACAAACCUCAAUUAACACACAUUAUUGGCAUAUGUACAUUCACAUAUAAUUUGGAACUUUUUCUUUGUUUAGGUACUGGGGAGUCAAAUCCAGGGCCUUGAGUAUACUCAGAAGUUGUUCUCCCACUGAGCUGUGCUCACAGCCCUAAGAAUUUUGGUUUUGCUUCAUUGACUUGAGCAUUUAUACAUGGCAGUCAAUCUGAAAGGUCAGCUAUGUGAAAUUUACACAAAAUUAGGUUGACAUUGUUAAUUCCCUGAAGAGAGCCCAGAAAUCAGUAGAGGGAAGUGUAGAUAGCCAGCCCUUACAUGUAUCCUGCUGCUUCCAGAGUUACCAGCCAUCUACUGAGGGGUCUCUUGGGACAAGAGAUUUGAAGUGUUAAUAACGGGACAAUCCCAGACAAACUGUGAUGCCUGAUCACUCUGUUUUCCACCCUCUUACUGCAGUCUUGAAAGAUCUGUCUCUGGGCUCCUAUAGACCUAUAUACCUUGUGAUUACACAGGGUCAAUUACCUAUGUGGAACUGAGAAUUAUUUGGUCCAUUGAAGCAUAAAAUUAGACAUUCACAGCAGCAUUUCAUUCUUAAGGAGGAGACACAUUUUGAGAACAUGGCUAAAUAGAUGCGGAAGCCCAAAAUAAAAAUGUAUCUCUCAACUCUCAUCAGUAAAGUUCCCUCAUGCAACAGAGGACAAUGGACACAAAAGGUCACAAAUAGCCAAAGUGUGGAGAAUAAGAGCCUGCAGAGUGUGGGUCCUUAGACAGGACUCUACCCACCUAGGGCUCAGAGGCCAUUUCAGAACAGGGGGCAGGAAGAUAGUAAGAGCCAGGGGAGGUGGUACAUAACCAUAUGGAAACAGUCUUACAGGCUCCUAGGACCUCGUUCAUAUGAAUCUACAGCAAUGGUUUCAGCAUACAUAAGAACCAUGAAAACUCAAUGAGCAGCAGACCCAAUCUUAGCUGAAGAACUAGCGGCAGCUGAUUACUCCUGGGUAAAGGAGUGCUACUUGACUGACUGACUAGCCCCCAGUGGAUGAACAUGCACUGAGGGAUGUCUGGGUACACUAACUUGACUUGCUAGGCCUUAACAUAAAUGACAGAAUGCAUGAAACCUGGCACGGGUUUGCUAGGGGAAUAGAGGGGGGGUGUAGAAAGAUGAUUAAGAGGCCCAGCGUGGUGGCAUAUGCCUUUAAUCCCAGCACUUGGGAGGCAGAGGCAAGCAGUUAUUUGUGAGUUCGAGGCCAGCUCUGUGUAUCUUUCCCCUUUCUGUAUUGUUUCUCCUUCACUUCAUAAACACAAACUCAGGGUAAGUACAGUCAGAUGAGGAAACCAUUUAGACUUGGAUUGUGGACACGCAGCCAUGCUGGCACUAAAACUGUAGUGGAUGGUAGUUUCUUUCAACUCUACCCAGAGGUCGCCUUCAAAAGCAGUAACAAACAUUCUGCAGUGUCUUUACAGAUAUGAUGGAGAAUUCAGUAGUCAAGUAUUUGACUCUUCUGUACUAAUUCCAAAUGAAUACUAUUUGUUUUCUCUCCCCACCAACUUUUGGGUGGAACUUAUAAGUUCACAUGACCAUGAUGAAAAUGUUUCCCUCUUGCUUCUGGCUCUGCUUCUGGUGAGUUGAACCAACAGGCAGAAAAGGGAAUCCCUGCUCUUGAUAGGGUGGUUAGACUUUAUUAUAAAGUAGGAUGAGGGUUGAUCUUCCACAACAGUGACACACAGGACUGUGUUUAUAACCCAAGAGUUGCUGCUAGCACCUUUUAGUACUUCUUAGUCAAUGAAAAAUUGCAAUAACCUGAGUCUCAUCCCUCAAGAAUGAUGGAUUGGGUCAUCACACACAAAAAUAUCUACCCAGCUAAGGUCAUGGCAUGGGACAAGCAA